GCCACGCCCCCUUUCUGGAAAGGAUCCGCGGCGGCAGCAGCUGCCAAGGUCCCCGAGGGCGCUCGCGGCAGGGGAGGAUCAAGGAAAGACUUGUUUAUUAUAGGGUUGCAUUGCUGGGGGAGGGGACAGCCCGUGACUAGGCUAGGAGGAGAGGCAGGGAAGCGUGAGGGGGCGGCGGGCAAGGAAAAUGGUUGCCCCCAGCGUCUUGGAUCCUAAAGCUUCGGGAACAACUGGGCACACACGGGGGGAUGCCCGUGGGACGGCGGCGCAGGAGCAGACGUUAUCCCGGCCUGCCCUCGCGCCCUUACCCCUUCUAUCCCUGCUUUGCAAAGGGUCGGGAUAUGCGGGUGGGGUCCACAGACCAGGAAGCUCCGGGCACCAUGCUGCCCCUUCCCCAAGGCCCCACCUGCCCAUCCUGGCUGUUACUCUACAGCCCAGGACAUGGGUUAAUGGGGAUCCCUGCCUCCUCCCAAACCCUAUUCGCUUCCACCUUCCAACUGCUCCCAAGGAGAGGGCUUGAGGAGAGUGGUUAGAGGAGUGUGGAUGGGCCUGGGUUCAUAGCGCACAGUGCAGGGAUGGAAGCGAGGAUUCACAGCAGUCGGACUCACGGACCCAUCCGCCCGCCCCGCGGACUGCAGGCAGCGCAGCCGGGCCUCCCAGCCCGGGCGCCCCCCGGGUCCUAGCGCCCAGCGCUCGCCUAGCGCUUUGUGUAAAAGAUCCAGACGGUUGCAUCAGGACCGAGGACCGAGAUCUCUGGAAAAGCCAGGGAAUGCAAUGGCCAUAUCCUGUUUCAUCAUUCAGGCGGGGCCGCAGGAAAUCUGGCCUGGCAGUAGUGCUCGGAGGCUAACAGUGUUUGCUGAGGGUGGGAGACCCACUUAUGGAGACAAAUUUAUGGAUUUAAGAAAGAAAUCAGGGGAUCCAGGAGACAUCUUAAAGACAGCUGCAGAAUGGAAUAGUUUGUGAGCCACUGGGACUUUCACGGCCUUCUCUUCCCAUUCUUCAAGCUCUGUCACUUGUUGGAGCCUUAAAGACACCAGAUUGCUUAACAAUGGGGAUAUAAAAAUUAAAAAUAAUAAAAAGACACUGGAUCAAGGCGGCUAGAUGUUCUUGGAGGGCUGGAGUAGAUGACAUGCUCUUGAAAUCACUCUUACAGAGGUGACCUGCAUGGGUGUGUCUUCCUGCUGGCCAGAGAGAAGAUCUGAAUUAAUCCAUCAGGAACAUUCACCUUUCCUCCAGGCUGAUUUGCGUGGGACACCUAAACACCUUAAGGAAACAGUUACGAUGUUUUUUCUUCUUCUUCUUCUUCUUUUUCUUCUUCUUUUUUUUUUUUUUGAGAUGGGGUCUCACUCUCUCACCCAGGCUGGAGUGCAGUGGCGCGAUCUUGGCUCACUACAAGCUCCGCCUCCCGGGUUCACGCUAUUUUCCUGCCUCAGCCUCCUGAGUAGCUGGAACUACAGGCGCCCACCACCACGUCCGGCUAAUUUUUUGUAUUUUUAGUAGAGACAGGGUUUCACCGUGUUAGCCAGGAUGGUCUGGAUCUCCUGACCUCGUGAUCUGCCUGCCUUGGCCUCCCAAAGUGCUAGGAUUACAGGCAUGAGCCACCGCGCCCAGUAUAAUUUUUGUAUUUUCAGUUGAGACAGGGUUUCACCAUGUUGGCCAAUUUGGUCUCAAAUUCCUGACCUCAGGUGAUCCACCAGCCUGGGCCUCCCAAAGUGCUGGGAUUACAGGCAUGAGCCACCACGCCUGGCCUUUUUUUAUGGACAGAAAAAAAAUUCAGGAAAAUGUGGAACACUGACCUAAAGAAAGUACAGGCUUUUUUUUUUUUUCUUUUAAGUAGAUAUUCGUAAGGAAAAUAAUCCGGGUCCGGUUUGGGAAGGUCAGUUUAUUAGGAAUCAUUUAUUCAUUCAACAAACACCAUCAAGACUGCCCAACAGUGUUCCAAGCACCUUUUUUUCAUUCACUGUCUCCUUCUGUUAAUAAAACAACUUGUCUC